UGAGACCUCAGGUCAGGCGGGGCU
rnacentral:rRNA from 1 species